UACGAAGGGUGCAAGCGUUACUCGGAAUUACUGGGCGUAAAGCGUGCGUAGGUGGUUUGUUAAGUCUGAUGUGAAAGCCCUGGGCUCAACCUGGGAAUUGCAGUGGAUACGGGCUGGCUAGAGGCAGGCAGGGGAGAACGGAAUUCCUGGUGUAGCGGUGAAAUGCGCAGAUAUCAGGAGGAACACCGGUGGCGAAGGCGGUUCUCUGGGCCUGUACUGACGCUGAGGAGCGAAAGCGUGGGGAGCAAACAGG
rnacentral:rRNA from 1 species